rnacentral:rRNA from 1 species
UGGGGAAUAUUGCACAAUGGGGGAAACCCUGAUGCAGCGACGCCGCGUGAACGAAGAAGGUAUUCGUAUCGUAAAGUUCUGUCCUAUGGGAAGAUAAUGACAGUACCAUAGAAGAAAGCUCCGGCUAAAUACGUGCCAGCAGCCGCGGUAAUACGUAUGGAGCGAGCGUUGUCCGGAAUUAUUGGGCGUAAAGGGUACGCAGGCGGUUUAAUAAGUCGAAUGUUAAAGAUCGGGGCUCAACCCCGCAAAGCAUUGGAAACUGAUAAAGUUGAGUAGUGGAGAGGAGAGUGGAAUUCCUAGUGUAGUGGUGAAAUACGUAGAUAUUAGGAGGAAUACCAGUAGCGAAGGCGACUUUCUGGACACAAACUGACGCUGAGGUACGAAAGCGUGGGGAGCAAACAGG